AGGACGAACGCUGGCGGCGUGCUUAACACAUGCAAGUCGAACGGAAAGGCCCUGCUUUUGUGGGGUGCUCGAGUGGCGAACGGGUGAGUAACACGUGAGUAACCUGCCCUUGACUUUGGGAUAACUUCAGGAAACUGGGGCUAAUACCGGAUAGGAGCUCCUGCUGCAUGGUGGGGUUGGAAAGUUUCGGCGGUUGGGGAUGGACUCGCGGCUUAUCAGCUUGUUGGUGGGUAGUGGCUUACCGAAGGCUUUGACGGGUAGCCGGCCUGAGAGGGUGACCGGCACGAGUUGGGACUGGAGAUACCGGCCCAGACUCCGUACGGGAGCAGCGAGGUGGGAAUAGUUGACUACGAAGUGGGACGGAAGCCGUAGAUGACAGCAACGCCGCGUGACGGAUCGGACGGUCCGUUACGGGUUACGUAAACCGUCUUACGCCGUGUGACGAGCGUAG
rnacentral:rRNA from 1 species